GAAGACCAAGAAAAGUUUUAAACUUUACUCCUAUAGAGCUUGGUGAAGUCAAUGAAGACUUCAUAGGGGAAGUGCUAUUUGAAUGGGGACUUGAUGGACGAGUGGGAUUUUGUCAUAAUGAGGGUGAGGAGAUAGUCAGAGAGGGUAGGGCAUUUAGAUAGGGACAUGAUGUACAAAGGCACAGUACGUUAACAAGUAAAUGUGAUGUGCGUGGCUACAGCUGGGGCAGUGUAAACAUAACUAUGGCCUAAGCAACCAGCACACUAAACUCAAUCUUUUCCCUGGGCUACUCCUUUAUAGAUAUUCUUUCGUACUUUGAAGGGGACAUCCUAUAACCUGGUUCCAAGCCCACAACAUUUCCAGUUGACACCCUGAUAUUCAGAAUCAUGGUUCAUAUGUUUUCUUUGGAAUUCCCUGCCAACUGGCCACUCCCCUCACCUGGAAAGAACCUGAGGGCCUGACUACCUAGCAGUGCUGAGAAGUUCCUUGAGCCAUUGUGCUGGUGAAGAAUUCUACAGCAAGGGACUACAGACUGUCAAGAGUACAAGAAGCAGCUUUUUAAGCUGAGAAGAAAAGACCUUUUAACAAAAGGAUUCAUCGAUGACCUUCAGAGAGGAACCCAACUCCUGUGACUCCUUUUCCAGAGCUGUUCACAGUUCAUGAGGGCACAGUGAAGAGAACUCCCCAUCUUUAAAUUACC